rnacentral:lncRNA from 1 species
AGUAUAAUGAGACAUAAUCUUUCAAAAUGAGACACAAUCUUUUAACAGAAAUAUGUUGGACAUAUUUGGAUGCCUAUUUACAAUUAAUGUCUGAUUUUCAAUAAACCUUGAUUGGAAAUGAUGAAAUAGAUAAAUCUGUUACAUUUUGUCUCCAACAUACAUCAAUUCCAAUGAAUGGGAUAGAAGAAUCAUAGACAAAAUAUAUGUGUGGAAUGAAAGCAUUAGAUAAAUCCAGCUUUGUUCAUUCGUGGAUAAAUGCUGGAUGCAUCAAUUGAGAAGAAAGGUAUUCCCUUAUGCAACUUAAAAUGGAAUCUCAGAAAUUGCCGGCUCCUCAACACACCUCUUGAUUACUAAACCA